AGUGAACGCUGGCGGUAGGCCUAACACAUGCCAGUCGAACGGCAGCACAGUAAGAGCUUGCUCUUACGGGUGGCGAGUGGCGGACGGGUGAGGAAUACAUCGGAAUCUACUUUUUCGUGGGGGAUAACGUAGGGAAACUUACGCUAAUACCGCAUACGACCUACGGGUGAAAGCAGGGGAUCUUCGGACCUUGCGCGAUUGAAUGAGCCAAUGUCGGAUUAGCUAGUUGGCGGGGUAAAGGCCCACCAAGGCGACGAUCCGUAGCUGGUCUGAGAGGAUGAUCAGCCACACUGGAACUGAGACACGGUCCAGACUCCUACGGGAGGCAGCAGUGGGGAAUAUUGGACAAUGGGCGCAAGCCUGAUCCAGCCAUACCGCGUGGGUGAAGAAGGCCUUCGGGUUGUAAAGCCCUUUUGUUGGGAAAGAAAAGCAGCAGGUUAAUACCCCGCUGUUCUGACGGUACCCAAAGAAUAAGCACCGGCUAACUUCGUG
rnacentral:rRNA from 1 species